UCAGUGGGGGGAGGGAAAGCAACCGGCAGGGCUUUCGUUAGUAAGGGCGAGGGAAGCAACAAUCAAUCAAAUAAUAAAUCUGGCAUCUUCGGUGUCCGAGUUGUAAUUUGAAGAAGGUAACUUUGGAGUUGUCUCUUGUCUAUGUUCCUUGGAACAGGACGUCACAGAGGGUGAGAAUCCCGUGCGAUGAGAUGCCCAAUUCUAUGUAAAGUGCUUUCGAAGAGUCGAGUUGUUUGGGAAUGCAGCUCUAAGUGGGUGGUAAAUUCCAUCUAAAGCUAAAUAUUGGCGAGAGACCGAUAGCGAACAAGUACAGUGAUGGAAAGAUGAAAAGAACUUUGAAAAGAGAGUGAAAAAGUACGUGAAAUUGUUGAAAGGGAAGGGUUUAAGAUCAGACUUGGUAUUUUGUAUGGCUUCCUUUCGGGGUGGUCCUCUUCGUUUUACCGGGCUAGCAUCAGUUUGGAUGGUAGGAUAAUGGCAUUGGAAUGUGACAUUGCUUCGGUGAUGUGUUAUAGCCUUUGUUGAUACUGCCUAUCUAGACUGAGGACUGCGUCGUUGACUAGCAUGGAGGCAUAAUGAUCGUCAACCGGCCGCCCUGAAACACAGACCAACC
rnacentral:rRNA from 2 species